UACGUAGGGCGCAAGCGUUGUCCGGAAUUAUUGGGCGUAAAGAGCUCGUAGGUGGCUUGUCACGUCGGGUGUGAAAGCUUGGGGCUUAACUCCAGGUCUGCAUUCGAUACGGGCUGGCUAGAGGUAGGUAGGGGAGAACGGAAUUCCUGGUGUAGCGGUGAAAUGCGCAGAUAUCAGGAGGAACACCGGUGGCGAAGGCGGUUCUCUGGGCCUUACCUGACGCUGAGGCGCGAAAGCUAGGGGAGCGAACAGG
rnacentral:rRNA from 1 species